rnacentral:tRNA from 1 species
AUUUAUAUAAUAUAAAAAGUAUAAAUGACUUCCAAUCAUUUCGUUUAAUUAAAUUAAUAUAAAUA